AUGGUUUGUUAAUGAGUGUCCCGAAAACCUUGAGUUGAAGUCAAGGUUGACUGAAGUCACGCACUGGAGGCAUUAAAACAUCAUGGCAAGUGUCAAGGACCAGACUGACGCUGCUCUUUGAAGCAGGCAGUGCUGACUGAUUGGGGCAAAGUCACAAGGAGACAUAACCUAUUGCUACGUUGCACAUAACAUAGCGCACAGAGACACCAGACACCCGCCCCAAAUUCCAGUUCAGAGAGGCAGUAUUUCCAGUGGUGGCAUGUGGAGCUUUAAAAAGGAAAUGACUGAGGACAUCAGGGGGAAAAAAUGCACCUUUUCAGAUAACAGACAGUGAAGAAUAAAGACAUUUCCAUAGCAUCUAUUCACCGUUUGUAAGACAGAUAAAUGGGUGUUUUUUUUAAGAAAAAAAAAAAAAAAAACCCUAUUGUGACAUUAUAAAGUUUUGUGGUUUUUAUUUAGUUUUCGGUGACAUCCUGCUCCUUGCUUGUGUGGAGAGAUACAUACUUUGUCCUCUUGUGCGGAGCUGAGAUAGCUCCUGUAUUUGUCCGUACAUGAUUUUUGUUUUAUGUUCUUUUCAAGCUGUGAAACACAACACACGCAUUGUGCAAUUUUUCUUCCAUCAGAUAAGUUAAAGGAUUUUAGGCUCACAGAAAUCCUUUUGAAAGCAGCAUGAUUAUCUCAAACAUGUCUCUCAUAAACUGGAAACUGAAACUGGAGUGAUUUUCCUGUGAUUCAGAUUUAGUCAUC